rnacentral:tRNA from 1 species
GGUCUCAUGGUGUAACGGUAUCACUGCAGACUUUGAAUCUGCCGACCUGGGUUCGACUCCCAGUGGGACCU